AUUGAACGCUGGCGGCAUGCUUUACACAUGCAAGUCGAACGGUAACAGGCCGCAAGGUGCUGACGAGUGGCGAACGGGUGAGUAAUGCAUCGGAACGUGCCCAGUCGUGGGGGAUAACGCAGCGAAAGCUGUGCUAAUACCGCAUACGAUCUAUGGAUGAAAGCGGGGGACCGUAAGGCCUCGCGCGAUUGGAGCGGCCGAUGUCAGGUUAGGUAGUGGGUGGGGUAGAGGCUCACCAAGCCAAGGAUCUGUAACUGGUAUGAAAGCACGACCAGCCAAACUGGGAGUGAGAAGCGGCCCGGAUUCCGACGGGAGGCAGCAGUGGGGAAUUUUGGAAAAUGGGGGCAAGCCUGAUCCAGCAAUGCCGCGUGAGGGAAGAAGGCUUUCGGGUUGUAAAGCUCUUUCGGCUGGGAAGAAACCGCACAGGCUAAUACUCUGUGUGGAUGACGGUACCAGCACAAGAAGCACCGGCUAACUACGUGCCAGCAGCCGCCGUAAAAC
rnacentral:rRNA from 1 species